UAUAUUUUAGUAUAAGACGUAUAAAAGUUUUUGAUACUUUAGGAGGUAGCUUAAUUCUACCAUAUAUAA
rnacentral:tRNA from 1 species